rnacentral:rRNA from 1 species
CUUACGAACAAUGGUAGGAGAGCGUUCUAAGUGCUGUGAAGUCAGACCGUGAGGACUGGUGGAGCGCUUAGAAGUGAGAAUGCCGGUAUGAGUAGCGAAAAAAGAGUGAGAAUCUCUUUCACCGAAUGCCUAAGGUUUCCUGAGGAAGGCUCGUCCUCUCAGGGUUAGUCGGGACCUAAGCCGAGGCCGAAAGGCGUAGGCGAUGGACAACAGGCAGAUAUUCCUGUACCACCUCAUGACCGUUUGAGCGAUGGGGGGACGCAGUAGGAUAAGGAAUGCGCACGGAUGGAUGUGUGCGCCCAAGCAGUGAGAAAGUCAGGUAGGCAAAUCCGCUUGGCCAUUUCAAGCUGUGAUGGGGAGGCCUUCUGGCCGAAGUUCCUGAUUUCACACUGCCGAGAAAAGCCUCUAGCAAGGUCACAGGUGCCCGUACCGCAAACCGACACAGGUAGGCGAGGAGAGAAUCCUAAGGUGAGCGGGAGAACUCUCGUUAAGGAACUCGGCAAAAUGACCCCGUAACUUAGGGAGAAGGGGUGCUCUACGGAGUAGAGCCGCAGUGAAUAGGC